GUACCUGUGGGUUCUGCAGUAUUGACACGGCGCCACCGCUGCGGUUUAAGACUGGAUCAUCAUGUCUUGUCCAGCUCCCAAAAUGCAAAGUUUCAUUCCAUGGACGGGAGUUGAAAGCCUCUUCCUCUAAGUUGAUGGGUUCACAUACAGCUCCACUGAAAUCCACCACAGCAUCUCCAGUGUUUCCUCCUUUUAAGGACUCAUAGCAGCCAUAGAGUCUGGGAGCAAGACAUGAGCUCGCAGCAACAAACCAGCAGUUCCCUACAUCCCCCUGAUUCAAGUCAUGGGAAUUGAUACCUUCCACAAACAGACGAGGAUCUGAG